CUUUCACACAGGAGCUGCUAUCUGUGGCUUCUCCCAGGACUCGGAGUAUGAGCUUUGCCUUUGCUGGAUCCACCUGGGUGUGUUUUACCCAAACUCCAGCAAUCCCAACCAGAGGGGAACAAGGUCUUACCCACUGAACCAUCACAAACACCUGAGCAAAGUGUACUGCACCGGCUGCACUAAGACUUUGAGCUGUAUUUCAGGGAUUCACAGCAAUUUGGUGUCUGGAGGAGAUUCCAGGACUCUAAAAACUGCUCAGCUUUGUGACUGAAAAGAGCUGCCCUGCAGAGCUCCCAGUGUGCUGAACUGGGAUCUCAGAGUGGUUUCAGCCAUGCAAACAUGG